UACGUAGGCGGUUAAAUAAGUCAGGUGUAAAAGGCAUUGGCUCAACCAAUGUAAGCACUUGAAACUGUUUGACUUGAGUAUAGGAGAGGUAAGUGGAAUUCCUAGUGUAGCGGUGAAAUGCGUAGAUAUUAGGAGGAACACCAGUGGCGAAGGCGACUUGCUGGACUGCAACUGACGUUGAGAUGCGAAAGCUAGGGGAAGGCAAACG
rnacentral:rRNA from 1 species